rnacentral:rRNA from 1 species
UGCUGCCCCUGGUUGCAAAGAC